CGGCAUGCCUAAUACAUGCAAGUCGAACGCUGAAGCACUCUGCUUGCAGAGUGCGGAUGAGUGGCGAACGGGUGAGUAACACGUGGGAAAUCUGCCUAGGAGUGGGGGAUAACAUUCGGAAACGGAUGCUAAUACCGCAUANCUUUUUGAACCGCAUGGUUCUUAAACGAAAGACGGCUUCGGCUGUCGCUCUUAGAUGAUCCCGCGGCGUAUUAGUUAGUUGGUGGGGUAAAGGCCUACCAAGACCAUGAUACGUAGCCGACCUGAGAGGGUGAUCGGCCACACUGGGACUGAGACACGGCCCAGACUCCUACGGGAGGCAGCAGUAGGGAAUCUUCCACAAUGGGUGAAAACCUGAUGGAGCAAUGCCGCGUGAAUGAAGAAGGUCUUCGGAUCGUAAAGUUCUGUUAUUAGAGAAGAACAAGUCAAGGAGUAACUGUCUUGACUUUGACGGUACCUAACCAGAAAGUCACGGCUAACUACGUG
rnacentral:rRNA from 1 species